UCCGCAAUGGGCGAGAGCCUGACGGAGCGACGCCGCGUGCGGGAUGAAGGCCUUCGGGUUGUAAACCGCUGUCAGUUGGGAGGAAAUCUAUGGGGGUUCUCCCCCAUAGUUGACCUAUCUUCAGAGGAAGGACGGGCUAAGUUCGUGCCAGCAGCCGCGGUAAGGCGAACCGUCCAAACGUUAUUCGGAAUCACUGGGUUUAAAGGGUGCGUAGGCGGCUUGGCAAGUUGGGUGUGAAAUCCCUCGGCUCAACCGAGGAACUGCGCUCAAAACUGUCAAGCUAGAGGAGGAUAGAGGUGAGCGGAACUUAUGGUGGAGCGGUGAAAUGCGUUGAUAUCAUUAGGAACACCUGUGGCGAAAGCGGCUCACUGGGUCUUUUCUGACGCUGAGGCACGAAAGCUAGGGUAGCGAACGGGAUUAGAUACCCCGGUAGUCCUAGCUGUAAACGAUGAGCACUAGGUUGGAGGCUCCUCCAUAGGUUUCCGACCGAAGCGAAAGUGUUAAGUGCUCCGCCUGGGGAGUAUGGUCGCAAGGCUGAAACUCAAAGGAA
rnacentral:rRNA from 1 species